rnacentral:misc_RNA from 1 species
AUAUCAAUUUGGUUCGUGGUAUAUAAAAUGCAAUUAUCCAGAUAUCUAAAAUACCCAAUUAAAUAAUUUCCUUCUUUUGGAAUUUUUAAAUUUUUUUAUGAUGUGUACAUUUUACAAGAUUAAUAUUAGGAAAAGAAAAUUCCAAGAAUCUUUUGUUUACAUUAUACUAUUAAAUUUUCAUUAAUGAAAAUAUAAAUAGAAUGGACUUUUAAUUGAAAUUUAACAAACAUAUAUUAUAAAAUUGAUAAAAUUCAAUGGGCCUUAGAAUUUGAGCUUGAUAACCAAGGCCUUAUUAUUUAACACUUUAUGGGCCUUAUGAUGGUUAAUAGCACAUGUAAGCUGCAACCAACAACUCUUUUUUUUACUAUAACCCAAGCCAACUAAGAUAAGAACAAUGCAGAGACAGAUGCAUGAGGAUUCUUCUUCUUCUUCUUCCGUUUGAUUUUGUGCAGAGCAGAGCGAAACCAGAUUGCUUGAUUUGUCAACUUAGAUCGCGUUCCCAAGCAAUUUGGCACACAAACAUCCCGCGAUUUAGGAUGCGAGAUCUGGGCCACAGAAUACGGGGGUUAAGCGAAUCUAGCAACUAUGGUCAGGUUCGCAGGCAUUUAGAAAUCAUCACCUCUAAUAGAGAUAGAUCAUCCAUGCAUAAAACAUGAGUUUGAGAUGCAACAUUUUUCAAUUUUUCUGCAUGAUACAUGUAAUAAAAAUUACCUUGAGUUUGAGAAGCGCGAGCAG